CGAAAUCAUAGUGGCAGACCUCUUGGCUUACAAAUGGCUAAUUAUAUUCAUUUCCUGAUUAUACUUGGGGGAGUCAUUGCUGAUUAUCUUCUGCAAAUCUUGCUUUGUGAGUUCUAUUGACAUUCAAACAGAAUGGGCUAUAAAGUCAUUUGUGGUUAUUACUCAACACCUUUUGUCUAAUUUCCCUUCCCCAUGUAGCCUAUCACCCAGCAGGAGAUCUUUCAUGUCAAAGUACUUAAUUACCUCGCCCGAAUCAGUGAAGGUUAAAAACAAUACAAAACAACCAAACAAAACAAUACAAAAAACAAAUAUGGCAUAUUUAUAUAGCUUUUUUACCCUGAUUCAUAAUUUGCUUUUACAUGUUUGACUGGAGGCUAAUUUCAGAGCUCAGUGGAAGUCAAAGAAGCUGUCUCGAAGGCAAGGCAAAUCUAAGAUAUUACCACCUGUCUUGUUCUUGGAGCCCUGCCCUGUUGGGAGGUCAGGAGACCAUGAAUUGGGAAAGAAAGAUGCUAUGUCUGCCACAUGUUUUAUGAAACAGUGGUGUGUGUGAAGGUACUCAUGUUUAUGUAUACGUUAAAGAGAGCAAACAUCUUAUUUGUGUAUGUAUGGAUAUGUGCAUUGUAUGUAAGUUUGUAUGCAUACGUGAAAAUAAAUAAAAUACAAAUAAAAUAAU
rnacentral:lncRNA from 10 species